UCUGCACCUUUAGAACAGAUGGACUUCCUAAAUCAGGUUCUGUGAAGCAGCUGCUGAUAUUUGGAAUUCUCAAAACACAGAUGAGGGGUUUCUGGCCUCUACUUUCAUUCAAAAGCUGUCCUAUGCAGAGGGCUCUUCUUAUACAGGAAAUGCCAACCUCCUAAAAGCAGGGAAAGUUUGGUUUUCAUAGCCUAGCAAAUGCCCUCAGAAAGUUUCCUCUAAUAUCCAAUAUUCUCCAGAGAUAGGACAGAAGACGGUUCUGUGGGCUAUUUCUUCAGCCGCCUUCCUGGUUUCUCUUGCUGACCAUGGAGCAGGGACUGGUGUUCAUUCGUCUGAGCAGUCCCCAGUAAUAAAGCAGGGCCCUGCGAAUGGCUGUUGCUCUAUAGUGGUUUUUGGAAUAGGCUUAACUGAGCAGGGGGUAGGAGGGUUGGCUAGUUCCUCAGAAGGGCUAUGAAUUUCAUAUCAAUAAAGUAUCUUUCAGUCAAGUUAG